rnacentral:lncRNA from 1 species
GGGCCGGGGGUGGGUGGGCUCCAUGUCCCUCCCCACUCCUCCAAUGGAACUCCUCCUCCCCAUCCCCGAUGUCUGCCAGAUGUUGGAUCUACCAGAGAUGAAGCCAAGACUGACGUGUUUUGAAUCAAAGGAAGUGAAGACAGUAUAAAGAAAGUUGAUAAUAUAAUAAGAACAUGUUGUCUUCCUUGCAGGGUCCACAAACCAUUAAUCACAUCCUGUUACAAACAAAAAGCAAGGAAAAUUGGAACAGAAGAGAAUAAAAUCAAAAUUCAAUAAGUUUAAAGAAAUUCU